GGGUCUAUAGCUCAGUUGGUUAGAGCGCACGCCUGAUAAGCGUGAGGUCGAUGGUUCGAGUCCAUUUAGACCCA
rfam:Clostridium sp. 7_2_43FAA genomic scaffold supercont2.4, whole genome shotgun sequence.